UUAUAAUACACGUGCUGGAAAAGGAGCCG
rnacentral:piRNA from 1 species